GACGAACGCUGGCGGCGUGCUUAACACAUGCAAGUCGAACGGAAAGGCCCUGCUUUUGUGGGGUGCUCGAGUGGCGAACGGGGGAGUAACACGUGAGUAACCUGCCCUUGACUUUGGGAUAACUUCAGGGAACUGGGGCUAAUACCGGAUAGGAGCUCCUGCUGCAUGGGGGGGGUUGGAAAGUUUCGGCGGUUGGGGAUGGGCUCGAGGCUUAUCAGCUUGUUGGUGGAGUAGUGGCGUACCAAGGCUUUGACGGGUAGCCGGCCUGAGAGGGGGGACGGCGACAUUGGGACUGCGGUACGGCCCAGACGCCUACGGGAGGCAGCAGUGGGGAAUAUUGCAGAGUGGGCGGAAGCCUGAUACAGCAACGCCGCGUGCGGGAUGACGUCCUUCGGGUUGUAAACCGCUUUCGCCUGUGACGAAGCGUGAGUGACGGUAAUGGGUAAAGAAGCACCGGCUAACUACGUG
rnacentral:rRNA from 1 species